rnacentral:lncRNA from 1 species
AUGAAUAAACCCAUUACCUCAACUCCCUGUACAUUACUGAGGCAUUUUUACUUGUCAGAUUUUCUGUUUUGCGGAGGCUUGGAUGUUUUCAGGAUGCUGUCAAUGCAGACAAAACAGAGCCGGUUUUCCCAGCAGCACCAGAUGUGGAUGAGAACAUGGGCCUCCCUGGCCCUCCAGUUCCAAGGUUUGGUGGAAGAAGACACAUCAGAGUCUCCAACACACCGGACCUGUUACCAGCAUUCAUGUCACAAAGCUCCUGGCUCUUCCUCUGGCUGCCACACUGUGGAGGAAGUGAUGUACGAGCGACCGUGUCCACGCACAGGGGAGGUCCCAGAAACGUCAUGGGGGAAAGACUGAAAGAUCUGUUCCUCCAGCCAUUCCGUAAGGGAAUUGUUCAGCAAAAGGCUUUCUGAAUUUAUGAGAAGGGAAACGUUCAAACUGUGAGUCCAGUUUAAAUUGUUUUUGGUUUCCGGGGCGCCUGGGUGGCGCAGUCGGUUAAGCGUCCGACUUCAGCCAGGUCACGAUCUCGCGGUCCAUGGGUUCGAGCCCCGCGUCAGGCUCUGGGCUGAUGGCUCAGAGCCUGGAGCCUGUUUCCGAUUCUGUGUCUCCCUCUCUCUCUGCCCCUCCCCCGUUCAUGCUGUGUUUCUCUCUGUCCCAAAAAUAAAUAAAUGUUGAAAAAAAAAUUAAAAAAAAAU